AGUGAACGCUGGCGGUAGGCCUAACACAUGCAAGUCGAACGGCAGCACAGUAAGAGCUUGCUCUUACGGGUGGCGAGUGGCGGACGGGUGAGGAAUACAUCGGAAUCUACUUUUUCGUGGGGGAUAACGUAGGGAAACUUACGCUAAUACCGCAUACGACCUACGGGUGAAAGCAGGGGAUCUUCUGACCUUGCGCGAUUGAAUGAGCCGAUGUCGUAUUAGCUAGUUGGCGGGGUAAAGGCCCACCAAGGCGACGAUCCGUAGCUGGUCUGAGAGGAUGAUAGGCCACACUGGAACUGAAACACGGACAAGACUACUACGGGAGGCAGCAGUGGGGAAUGUUGGACAACGGGCGCAAGCCUGAUCCAGCCAUCCCGCGUGGGUGAAGAAGGCCUUCGGGUCGUAAAGCCCUUUUGUUGGGAAAGAAAAGCAGCCGGUUAAUACCCAGCUGUUCUGACGGUACCCAAAGAAUAAGCACCGGCUAACUUCGUG
rnacentral:rRNA from 1 species